GACGAACGCUGGCGGCGUGCCUAAUACAUGCAAGUCGAACGCAGUGGGGACGGGUGAGUAACACGUGGGUAACCUCCCAUCAGAGGGGAUCACACUUGGAAACAGGUGCUAAACCGAUACUGAUGGAUGGACCCGCGGUGCAUUAGCUAGUUGGUGAGGUAACGGCUCACCAAGGCCACGAUCCCUAGCUGGUCAGAGAGGAUGACCAGCAAAACUGGAACUGAGACACGGUCCAGACUCCUACGGGAGGCAGCAGUGGGGAAUAUUGCACAAUGGGCGCAAGCCGGAUGAAGCCAUGCCGCGUGGGUGAAGAAGGCCUUCGGGUUGUAAAGCACUUUCAGCGAGGAGGCGUUACUCGCAGAAGAAGCACCGGCUAACUCCGUGCCAGCAGCCGCGGUAAUUC
rnacentral:rRNA from 1 species